rnacentral:ncRNA from 1 species
CUCACCUGCCGAAUCAACUAGCCCUGAAAAUGGAUGGCGCUUAAGCGAGAGACCUAUACUCCGCCGUCGCGGCAUGUGCGUUGUCUAGCGCCAGGUCGCGACGAGUAGGAAGGACGUGGCGGUUGCGUUGAAGGCUAUGAGCGUAGGCUCGGCUGGAGCUUCCGUCAGUGCAGAUCGUAAUGGUAGUAGCAAAUAUUCAAGUUCGAUCCUUGAAGACUGAAGUGGAGAAGGGUUCCACGUGAACAGUAGUUGGAUGUGGGUCAGUCGAUCCUAAGGUACUGGCGAAAGCCUUGUAUCAUCGGUGGCGAAAAGCUUGCUUUUUGUCCCCGCCCGUCGAAAGGGAAUAGGGUUAAUUUUCCCUAACUGAGAUGCAAAGAUUGUGUUCUUCGGGAGCACAAGCGCGGUAACGCGUUCGAACUUGGUAAGUCGCUCAGAGACCGAGCUAGAGUUUUCUUCUCUAGUUAAGGAACGGACUCCCUGGAAUUGGUUCAGCCAGAGAUGGGGACGUUGUUUCCGAAAAGCACCGCGGUUUCUGUGGUGUCUCGUGCUCUCUGAACGGCCCUUUAAACACCAAGGGAGGCUAUUAAUUUGCACUCAAUCGUACCGAUAUCCGCAUUAGGUCUCCAAGGUGAACAGCCUCUAGUCGAUAGAAUAAUGUAGGUAAGGGAAGUCGGCAAACUAGAUCCGUAACUUCGGGAAAAGGAUUGGCUCCAGUGGUCGGAACGGUUGGCCAGUUGGUUGAUGCUUGUCCGGCGCUGUUCUGUCUGCUUGAUGCUUUCGGGCUGAUGGCGGCCUAGUGAUAGUGCUUGCUUGUUGACGCUUUCUGGUGUGUGCUUUGACCUCGGUCUUAGUAUCCUGAUCGUUCAUCUAAACGACUAAACUGGAACCGGUACGGACUCAGGGAAUCCGACUGUCUAAUUAAAACAGAGGUGACAGAUGGUCCUUGCGGACGCUGACUGUCACUGAUUUCUGCCCAGUGCUCUGAAUGUUAAAUCGUAGUAAUUCGAGUAAGCGCGGGUAAACGGC